GCGACGGCGUGAGUGAGAUGAGAGACCCGGGAGCGAGCCGGCUCUCCGGUCCAGGACCAGGCACGUCGGUGAGGGAGCUCCCCCAGCUCUCCAUGUAGGCCCCAGUGGCGGUCUCUCGCAGACCCUUCCCUGAACGCACCAUGGAUGUCCCCGGCGGCCUCCGCUGCUGUGUGCUGCCCUGUGAACCGCAGUCAACACGCGCUGCAACCUACCGUGAACCCGGUGUGAGCGGCGGGCGCCUCAGCCAAUGGGAGCGCGCGAGGAGCGUGUUCGGGCUCGCUGAUUGGCCAGAGGGAGAAACACAACAUGUCGGUAGCGAUCGGACGGUGAAGCUCCUCUGAACGCAGCCGGCCGCAGUGACACGCCUGAGGAAGCAUAUUUAUUAAAGAUUACUUUGAUGUGG